rfam:TPA: Bos taurus chromosome 14, whole genome shotgun sequence.
UCCCCUGGCAGUCCAGUGGUUAGGACUUGGCACUUUCACUACAGGGGCCCAGGUUCAAUCCCUGGUUGGGGAA